CUGCACAGUGAACACCCAAGGGUGCCAGCGUGGCUCUCCCUGGUCUCAUGUCUCUGUGCUAUAGCGACUCUGGUGUGUACCUCUGCGUUGGGAGAGCUUCCUUCUCUCCUACAUGUAUUCAGCGCAUCAGUACAAAG